rnacentral:rRNA from 1 species
UGCAAGUCGAGCGGUAACAGGAAAGUAGCUUGCUACUUUGCUGACGAGCGGCGGACGGGUGAGUAAUGCUUGGGAACAUGCCUUGAGGUGGGGGACAACAGUUGGAAACGACUGCUAAUACCGCAUAAUGUCUACGGACCAAAGGGGGCUUCGGCUCUCGCCUUUAGAUUGGCCCAAGUGGGAUUAGCUAGUUGGUGAGGUAAUGGCUCACCAAGGCAACGAUCCCUAGCUGGUUUGAGAGGAUGAUCAGCCACACUGGGACUGAGACACGGCCCAGACUCCUACGGGAGGCAGCAGUGGGGAAUAUUGCACAAUGGGCGCAAGCCUGAUGCAGCCAUGCCGCGUGUGUGAAGAAGGCCUUCGGGUUGUAAAGCACUUUCAGUCAGGAGGAAAGGUUAGUAGUUAAUACCUGCUAGCUGUGACGUUACUGACAGAAGAAGCACCGGCUAACUCCGUGCCAGCAGCCGCGGUAAUACGGAGGGUGCGAGCGUUAAUCGGAAUUACUGGGCGUAAAGCGUACGCAGGCGGUUUGUUAAGCGAGAUGUGAAAGCCCCGGGCUCAACCUGGGAACUGCAUUUCGAACUGGCAAACUAGAGUGUGAUAGAGGUGGUAGAAUUUCAGGUGUAGCGGUGAAAUGCGUAGAGAUCUGAAGGAAUACCGAUGGCGAAGGCAGCCACCUGGGUCAACACUGACGCUCAUGUACGAAA